CAAAGUUGAGGUAGGAUGAAUAUUAUUUUAUAGUUUGUUAUUGCAAAUAGUGUUAACUUGUAUAUAUUGCUAAUACUAUAUUGACUAAUCUUGAUAGAUUAAUAAAAUAUGGAACAAAAAUGGAUGUCUGCUAGUCGAUUAUCAAAAGAAUACGAGGAUGGGGUGAAAAGUUUUCGUAGAUUUGCAGUUGAGCAUGCAAAAAACCCUAGUAGAAUCAUUUGUCCUUGCUUGCAGUGUUGUCAUUUAAAGGUAAUGAAUGCAGAUGAGUUAGAAGAGCAUUUAAUUUGCAAUGGAAUUGAUAAAAGUUAUACAUGUUGGACCAAACAUGGUGAAAAUAGAAAAAGUCAUAUGAAUAAUGAUUUUCAUCAUAAUACAAGUUAUACACCGAAAGAAACUGAUACAACAUAUGAGUUAGAUGAUGUUGAGGAGAUUGUAAAUGUAAUCGAAGAGGAUAUGCAAGAUUCUCCUCAGAUGUUUGAUAGGUUGACAAUGGAUGCAAAGACACCACUGUAUAAUGGUUGUACUAGUUUCACAAGACUAUCAGCAGUCUUGAAAUUAUUCAAUUUGAAAGCACGAAAUGGAUGGUCUGAUACUAGCUUUACUGAAUUACUAUCACUUAUAAAAGAUAUGCUACCACAAGAUAAUGUGCUUCCUAGUCGAAUGUAUGAUGCUAGAAAAAUAUUAAGCUCUAUUGGGAUGAGCUACGAGAAGAUUCAUGCUUAUCCAAAUGAUUGCAUUCUUUUUCGAAAUGAAUAUGCCCCAUUGGAUAAAUGUCCUAAAUGUAUGACAUCGCGGUAUAAGAAAAAUUUAGUGCCGAGCAAAGUGGUAUGGUAUUUUCCUAUAAUACCAAGAUUUAGGCGCAUGUAUCGUAAUGAACAAGAUGCAAAGAACUUAAGAUGGCAUGCAGAUGAAAGAAUACGUGAUGGAAAGCUUCGACACCCUGCAGAUUCUCCUCAAUGGGCAAAAGUUGACCAUGAUUACCCUAAUUUUGGGAAAGAACCACGAAACCUACGUCUUGCUUUGUCUACUGAUGGAAUAAAUCCGCAUGGUAUGCAAAGCAACUCGCAUAGCACGUGGCCUGUGGUUAUGAUUAUAUAUAACCUACCUCCAUGGCUAUGCAUGAAAAGGCAGUUCAUGAUGUUGUCCAUGUUAAUUCCAGGUCCAAAACAACCAGGGAAUGACAUAGACAUAUACUUGGCACCUCUUAUUGAAGACUUGAAGGAUAUGUGGAACGAAGGUGUAGAGGUGUAUGAUGGGUAUACGGAAGAAAGUUUCCUGCUAAGGGCAAUGUUGUUUGGCACAAUUAAUGAUUUUCCGGCAUAUGGUAAUCUAUCUGGAUAUAGUAUCAAAGGGAAGUGUGCAUGCCCUAUAUGUGAAGAUAAUACAGAUUGGGUGCGAUUGGAACAUGGUAAGAAAAAUGUAUUUCUCGGGCAUCGCAGAUUCUUACCUUCAAAGCACCGUUAUCGAGGAUGGAGAAAAGCAUUUAAUGGGACGACAGAAGAACGUAGAGCUCCAAAAUUGUUGUAUGGUGAUAAAGUUUUUGAAAAAGUAAAGGAUAUAAACAACAAAUUUGGUAAGCCUUUUGCAAGAGAUCUAGUCACAAGUGGGUGGAAGAAAAAGUCUAUAUUUUUUGAUUUGCCAUAUUAGAAGUCCUUGUACGUUAGACAUUUCCUUGAUGUGAUGCAUAUCGAAAAAAAUGUAUUUGAUAGUGUCAUAGGUACGUUGUUGAACGUUCCUGGAAAGUCUAAGGAUGGCAUCAAAGCAAGGUUGGACUUAGUUCAAAUGGGAAUUCGAACAGAAUUGGCACCAAUAAAGAAAGAUAAAGGAAUUGGGAUCAAAUGUUAAUAACAUUCCCCGUCAAGAAUUAUGGAAGCAUGGUCGUGUGAACAAAAGCGGGGCAAUUGAAAAUGAAGAAACUCAACAAGUUUGAGACAAAUGUGUUCAAUUGUCACAAACUAAUUCAGAAGAGAUGAAUAAUGAUCACUCUGACAUUUUGAGUCAAGCUUUAUGUCUCCCAGAGUAUCCAGGUCGUGUUAGGGGAAUGGGAUUUGGAGUCGGUCAUAGAGAUUAUUUCCCGUCCAAAAAGCGUCAUACACAGCAUGAGCAUGAUAAAUUAACUGCUCAAUUGAAAGACAUGUCGGAAAGAAUUGCACGAAUGGAAAAUGAGAUGCUUCGAAAAAAUGACACACUAAAUACUACUGAAGAAGCUAAUAAUAAUAGUGGCCAAGGGAGUUGCACAUUGUCAUCAAAUAGUUUUCCCGAGGGGGUCUCAAGUUGUAAAUUGUUUACAUUAUCACCAUCACUUUGCUUGGUUGCCCAUGGAAAAUUGCAUAAUUUUAAAAGUGAUACACUACAUGGUAGACCUUUACCUAAGGGACAUGUUAAAGUUAGUAUAGAUAUUGCUUUGGAGCCAAAUGUAUCCUUGCCUAUACCAAUUGAUGAUGAUGACAUGAUGACAAUAGGACAAGCAAUAGGUACAUUUGUGGCAUGGCCAAUGAAUUUCAUACAGAUUAGUGAUGAGGAUUCUACUCAACCUAAAAAGAGAAACAUGAAUAAUACAAAUGAAUGUAUUGCACCUAAAAAGAAAUGUCAAGGGAAAAUGGCCUUUCAACAUACUCCUCGUAAACUGUUUCAUCCCAAUAUUUCUGAAUGGUGCAAUUGUCUCUCUUCAUACAUGAAACUAAAGCCAUCAGAGUCACUUCCUCCAAUACAAAUGGACAAAAACAUAUUUGGACUAGAUAAUCAUAAAGAAAUUGUUAAUGCAGAAAUUAUUGGAGAAGUUACUAACUAUGCAUGGCUAGGUGCAACUACAAUUUCUAUAUAUAUCGGGUACCUAUAUCAAAACUUUGUUAAGCCAAAUGAUAAGGCAUUCUUUUUUUAUCACCCCAAAUCACAACACAUGAGCUACCAAUGAAAGACAGAAUGCAAAAAAUAGUUACUAUUUUUCUUGAUAAUGGGGUGAUUGAUAAGUUUGUUCUUGCACCUAUUAAUACCGGCCAACAUUGGGUUUUGCUAGGAAUCAAUCUUAAACUGGAGAUAAUUCAUUAUCUUGACCCAGUAGCGGUAGACAUUAAUAUGAGGCAAGAUUUGAAGAAAUUGUUUGACAUGGUUAUACAAACCUAUCGAGCUCAAACAGGAAACAUGGUUUCAAAAUCUAAGUCAAACAAUAUCAAGUGGACAACAAUUAAGUGCCCAAGACAACCCAACGGCAAUGAUUGUGGGUAUUACGUUUGCCAAUAUAUGAAGGAAAUUAUUACAUAUUGUGAAGGAGGAACAAUUCCAACUGAUUAUUUUUCUAGUUGCAGAUGUCAACAAUAUCAUGAAAGUCAAAUCAUUGAAGUUAGAGAAAAUUGGUGUAUACAUGUAAUUAGUACAUGCUUAUAGGUUAUGUUAAGGUGAUGUGAUUAUAAGUAUUGAUAGGAUAUAUAUGUUACACGUAAUAGACGACUUAACGAUUAACUUUUGAAAUAUUAGUGUACCAAUAAUUUGUAUUUAUAUUAAUGAACAUUCUUUUU